GGGUUGCUGAAUAACUGAGAUGUUAUAUCUUGUCAAAUGGAUGAAAAUCGUGGGAAAGGGGCUGAAGUAAACUGCCAUUUAUUUGAGCAAUCCAACAAUUGCGGCAGUGACAAGGAAUACGUUUCCGGCCACCCUUUUUUCCGUUGAAGUUCUGGUCAACUUCCGCUUCUGAGACGGUUAGGAGGCAUAUUCAACAUCACUCCUGCCUUUUGAAAUCCUAUCAAAUAAGCCUAAGGCGAGUGCUCUUCAUCUUGUAAGUUGCGAAGAUAUUGUUGUGUAAUUACGGGUUCUUCGUAUCUGUUAUCUCCGUUGAGGUCUUAUUUGUGUACCUGUUGGCAACUCCAUCCAAGUCCAGUACCGCAAAGGGAA